UACGGAGGGUGCGAGCGUUGUUCGGAAUCACUGGGCGUAAAGCGCGUGUAGGCGGCCCAUUAAGUCUGAUGUGAAAGCCCGGGGCUCACCCCCGGAAGUGCAUUGGAAACUGAUGGACUCGAGUCCCGGAGAGGAGAGUGGAAUUCCUGGUGUAGCGGUGAAAUGCGCAGAUAUCAGGAAGAACACCAAUGGCGAAAGCAGCUCUCUGGGACGGUACUGACGCUGAGACGCGAAAGCGUGGGGAGCGAACAGG
rnacentral:rRNA from 1 species